UCUGUGUAAGAACCUAACCUAAGUUAUCGUUAACGCUCUUUGAUUGUUGUUGUUAUUGGUGAUCUUUGAAUUAGUGUAGGUGAAAUCAUUUCCAAGUUCCAAUAUUACCAAUUCUUUUUCAUUGUUUUAUGAUUGCCCUACUGCAUUAGAAAAGAAUUCUAUUUGACGAGAAACAUUUUUUCGUUUUGUUAUGGAAUCAGAUAAUGAAAUGAAAUUUUCCAGACUCUUUGGGGUGUAGAUUUCGAAUCCGAAGUCAACAAACUGCAAUCGCACUUGGUUAUUCGAAAAAUAUAUAUAUAUUUUCACCAAGCAUACCACUACAGGAUGUCCAGAAAUAGUAGGUCCUGAAAUAGUAUGUCAUCUACAUAAUUUUAAUGGUUGUGAAUGGAGAGGACAAUCGGAAGAUAUGUUGGAACAUUGUAUGACAAAGCAUGCCAGGUUUGUUCGAGAAGGUUACGAGCAGAAAUAUACUAUUGAAAAAUUCAGGUCAAUCAACAUUGCAAAAGAUUUUCCACAUAUCAUUCAAGCACAUGGAAAUCUAUUUCUGCUGUGGUUGCGAAAAUAUCCAAGUGGUAUGAUGACCCUUCGUGCAUAUUGCUUGGAAUCUUGUGAGUCUUAUUUGAAAUGUAAAAUAUUCAUUGAAUUCCAAGAUAAAGUAGAAGUAAAGUUGGAUUGUUAUCCAUUACAUUAUUAUCUUCACCCUUUUCGUUGUGGAGAUGACCAUAAAUUCAAAAUAAAUGGUGAACAAUAUUUAGGAGAUGCAGAAAAUUUGUCUUAUAAAAUCAUAAUUGAAGUUGAAGAUACAUCAUUGCACAAUCUUCUACAAUAUUCACAUUUAAUGUGGAUAGACGAUGAUGAGAUUGUUUUGGAGCAGUGAGAUUUGAAAUCAUAUCAAUGAAGAAAUUUCAUAAUGAUACACACCUGUUAUUAGAUGUACCCUUGCCUGCCUCCGUUGAUAACCCCAUAAAAGGAUAUUGGCUGCAUCAGACUCGGAGAAAUCUCAACAACCAAAUGUUGACAACUCAUCAAAAAGAAUAUGAAAUUUUGAAGAACACAGGUAUUAAUUUCAUGUAAUAUCAACAGAAUAGUCAUCAAUGAAGUUGAAUCAUAACCAUUGUUAAGUAUAACUUAUGUCAAAUAAAUAAGAAAAAUGUUCAGUAAUACUUUAAAUUUCUUACAAUUUCCAUAAUGAAUUUGGAAAUAUUCUUUCAAAACAUGAAAUAUUAUCACUUAUUGUUAUAUAGUUCUUUUAAGAUGAUUUGUAUAAACUAGAAAUUGACUUUAUUUUACAGAAUUUCAUUGUAAAUUUAUAAUUGAAUGUCUCAUUUAAUUCAGAUAGUUGCUAAUAAAAUGAUUAAAAUCAAA